AACGAAGGUGGCAAGCGUUGCUCGGAAUCACUGGGCAUAAAGCGCGCGUAGGUGGCUUGAUAAGUCGGUGGUGAAAUCCCAUGGCUCGACCAUGGAACUGCCGUCGAUACUGUCAGGCUUGAGGGCGGUAGGGGAGAGUGGAACUCCUGGUGUAGCGGUGAAAUGCGUAGAUAUCAGGAGGAACGCCGGUGGCGAAAGCGACUCUCUGGGCCGUUCCUGACACUAAAGCGCGAAAGCUAGGGGAGCAAACAGG
rnacentral:rRNA from 1 species